CCUACGGGCGGCAGCAGUGGGGAAUAUUGGACAAUGGGGGCAACCCUGAUCCAGCCAUGCCGCGUGUGUGAAGAAGGCCCUCGGGUUGUAAAGCACUUUCAGUGAGGAAGAACGCCUGGUGGUUAAUACCCAUCAGGAAAGACAUCACUCACAGAAGAAGCACCGGCUAACUCCGUGCCAGCAGCCGCGGUAAUACGGAGGGUGCGAGUGUUAAUCGGAAUUACUGGGCGUAAAGCGCGCGUAGGUGGCUUGAUAAGCCGGUUGUGAAAGCCCCGGGCUCAACCUGGGAACGGCAUCCGGAACUGUCAAGCUAGAGUGCAGGAGAGGAAGGUAGAAUUCCCGGUGUAGCGGUGAAAUGCGUAGAGAUCGGGAGGAAUACCAGUGGCGAAGGCGGCCUUCUGGACUGACACUGACACUGAGGUGCGAAAGCGUGGGUAGCAAACAGGAUUAGAUACCCUAGUAGUC
rnacentral:rRNA from 1 species